rnacentral:lncRNA from 1 species
AUGUUCUAUCCCGACUAAGUGGCCGUCCUGGGAGUUAUAGUGCCACUAGCCGGCCUCGGCUGUUCCCUGUCCGAGGCUCUUGUCAUUUCCGCUUAUUUCCUCCACGGGUGCCGAUUUCAUGUGUGUGUUCCCGAGUGCCUGAGCCGGCUCCCGAAAUGAGUACUCGUGGUUUCCGCGUGGGAACCAACCUCGAGCGCCAGUGGCCCGCCCUCUCCGGGCUGAGGUGGCUGCUGAGGCUGGGGCUGCUCCUGAGGCUUCAGGGCCGCCCGCUGCACGGCUUUCUACCUUCCCAGGUUAGCCGCGGUCAACUUCUGCCAGGCGGAGCGAGAAAUCGCAUUUUGUCAGUUUUAACAAAACAGAAAUGUGUAAAAAUUUGUGUAAAAUCUUACGAUCGAGACCAAAUGGACAAGCUGGCUUUUUUUGAAGAAAGUAAUACGACUGAAUUACUAGCAUCAUUGAGACAGUUGGAUUUUUUUCCUGUUUCUGGUUAAUUGCUAAAAUCUACAGUGUGCUGAAGGUGGAGUAAAGUAUUUCCCCAAAGGAUUCCAAGCACAUCUCCCUUGCCCUUGAAUAUCUGUAUAUCUAUAUGAACAUCAAUUGAGAUAUAUAUGUGUGUGCCCCUAAUUACAUAAUUUUAAGCAUAUAUAUAAAAAUGUAAAAUCUCAUUGUCUGGCCUCAGUUUGUAUGACACAAAAUACUGAUUGUAUGGAAGAAAACAGAUUGGGAAACAGAUUUAUUCUAUAUCAUAUUUUCCUGAAAAGCUACCUUAAAAAGAUUUAAAUUAAAGCAAUUAGAGCAAGGGAGGCACAUUUCUUUAAAAAAUUAAAGUUGAGUACCAUACUGGUUUUUCAGAUGAAAUUUUCUUUUCCUUUUUCUCCUUCAUAUUGCUCAGAGCAUCUAAUUCCAUCAGAACUAUUGUCAAAUAAAUUUUAUGUAAAAUGUGUAUUUUUCUAAUGGGAGUUGAUUAUACAAACUGUAUUACACCUUUGUAUCUGAGUGAUCAUUUAAAAAUGCAUAUUGGUUUAGCACAUAGAGUUUAUGAAAUGCCAGAUAAUGCUCUUAUUCCUCAGUGAAAUCUGCACAUUUCUAGUUGUUGGUGGUCUAUUUCUGUUUGCUGUUCCUUGGAGGGGGGCUGAGAAUGUUCAAGUUUGACUUAGCUGUGUUUAAGUAAUAAAUCUUUGGAGUCAA